AUCAGGACUUAUGUACCUGUGGUGUAGACAGCUUACUGGACCAUUACUGACACUGAGACACGGAGGAAAGGGUAGCGAGCAGGACUAGAUACCCUGGUAGUCCACGCCCUGAGCGAUGCAUACUUGGUGUGGGCCAUUCAUUUGGUCUGUGCCGGAGCUAACGAAAUUCUCAAUAUGCCGCCUGGGGAGUACGGUCGCAAGGCUGGAGCUCGAGGGAAUUGACGGGGGCCCGCACAAGCGGUGGAGCAUGUGGUUUAAUUCGACGCAGCGCGAAGAACCUUACCUGGGCUCGAACGGCUUCAGACAAUCUUUAGGAGUAGAGACUUCUCGCAAGAGACUGGAGUCGAGGUGCUGCAUGGCUGUAAACAGCUAUCUCAAUAAAGAGAUGUUGGGUUUCUCAAUCCCGCAACGAGCGCAACCCCUGUCCUGUGUUGCCAUCAUUUCUCAAUUGGGCACUCUCAGGAGACCGCCAGCGAUAAGUUGGAGGAAGGUGGGGAUGAUGUCUCUCAAUCAUCAUGGCCUUUAUGUCCAGGGCUACACAAAAGCUACAAUGGGCGGUACGAGGCGCUGCAACCCGCGAGGGGGAGCUGAUCGCGAGGAGCAAACCUCAGUUCGGAUCGCAGGCUGCAACUCGCCUGAAAGAAGCUGGAAUCGCUAGUAAUGGAAAAUCAGAAUGACGCAAAGAAUAAAAUCCCGGGCCUUGUACACACCGCCAAACACAUCACGGAGGUGGAUUGUACUAGAAGCUCUAAUUGAGCAG
rnacentral:rRNA from 1 species